AUGUACGCAUACCAUGAAACCCAUCGGGCACAUGAUCUAUCCUUUUGAUGGUGCUCAUGUUGUUCAUCUAAGCUCAAACUUGUGAUACGUAGUUGUGUACUACUCCACUGUAGAAAUCUCAAGAUACUGCAGAAUGGUAGCAUGGAUACGAUCACCCUGCAAAGAGCAAACAAUAUGUUUUAAGGAGGAACAGAAACUAACAUUUUAACAGUUAUAAGUAUACCAGAGCACAUUGACAUUUGAGCUGGAAAAAAGAGUAAUUCUAGAAAAACAUAAAUGGCCUCAAACGUAACGCAAAAUAACCAAUACCGUAUUCAGUUAUGAUGUUUUUAGAGGCAUCAUACCGAAUAAUAUUAACCCUCUUCCUUUAAGCAACAAUCAAAUAAAAAGAUAGCCUCUUCUUUAACCAUUCAUACAAAACAUAGAUUGUUUGUUUCGUCCAGAAAAUAAAGGAAACCCAAACUUAGGAUAAAUAUAAGAUAUAAGGAGGCCAUGAAAAACAACAUGCUGCAUUAACAAGUUUAACCCUUCUGGAAUGUUUUGUUCUUGACCUGUUAUUCACAAUUAUGUUCAUUAAUUCUUAACAAGCCAAGACUGACGCGAAUCUAUUAUUCAUGAUUAUGUUCAUUAAUUCCAAACGGACCAAGACUGACGCCAACAAUAACAAAAAACUUUAAGUAUGACGUACCAUAAAACAUAGAAGACACUAUAUAUAAUAGAUCAUCAGUUUUCUAACCCCGCCCGUUGUGUCAUCGCCUCUAAUACUAAUUACCUAGACCACACCAAGGGCAUUUCGAAGAUCUAAAUAUCAAAUCAAUUUCUGGACAGAAAAAAUAUCUAGCUCAAAUAGAAAUGAGUAUACCAAAUAGCUGGGUAUGAGCUUGUAGUGAGAACAUCAUGAGUGUCUGAACUUAGUGCUGCCAUCAAGUUCAAAACUCAACGAUCAUAUAGGAGAUCGAUGGACAGAACUAAACCACAAAUUUUUCCAUGAAUGUGUAAACAUGAACUAAACCAGGUAUGGGUUAUUAAAAAUGGAACAAUUGGAGCAGAACAUUUGCAAGAAGCAAACCAAAUUAAGCCACCUAUAGUGAUAAGCCCAUGUGCUAAAUCAAAAGGAAACCAUACCUACUAUAUAAUACACUUUUGAACUAAACAAGGUCUAGGUUAUUAAAAAUGGAACAAUGGGAGCAGAACAUUUGCAAGAAGCAAACCAAAUUGAGCCACCUACACUGAUAAGCCCAUGUGGUAAAUCAAAAGGAAACCAUACCUACUAUAUAAUACACUAAUAAAGACAACAAUAAUAUAAACAAGAAGCAUAGACCACCAGACCUCAAGUGCAGCCGUAAAAACUCAUUAUCGUUGUCGUCAGCAAACGCAAACAUGGAUCCACCAGUCAUUACUUUUGUCAUUCAGCUUUCGCAAUAUCAGAAACCACAAAGAGAACCUC
rnacentral:lncRNA from 1 species